GGCAUCAAGGAAAAUAUCCUGGAGGAGAGGCUGAUUAUUCCCAUUCUGAGAACAGGAAUACCCAGUCAUGAGGGAGAUCCUGCUGCUCCAGGUGGCCACAAAGAAUUACAACGUAGAGCCCGAGGAGCGAUUUGGGGCCUGGUUCCAGGACAUGGAGCUGCUCAACGAGAAUGAUAGUCGCCAGGCCCCAACACCAACUCCCGUACCAGUGGCCUAUCACAGCCCCAUCCUCAGCAGCG